rnacentral:rRNA from 1 species
GUGGGGAAUAUUGGACAAUGGGGGGAACCCUGAUCCAGCCAUGCCGCGUGUGUGAAGAAGGCCUUUUGGUUGUAAAGCACUUUAAGCGAGGAGGAGGCUACCGAGAUUAAUACUCUUGGAUAGUGGACGUUACUCGCAGAAUAAGCACCGGCUAACUCUGUGCCAGCAGCCGCGGUAAUACAGAGGGUGCAAGCGUUAAUCGGAUUUACUGGGCGUAAAGCGCGCGUAGGUGGCAAAUUAAGUCAAAUGUGAAAUCCCCGAGCUUAACUUUGGAGUUGCAUUCGAUACUGGUUGGCUAGCGUAUGGGAGAGGAUGGUAGAAUUCCAGGUGUAGCGGUGAAAUGCGUAGAGAUCUGGAGGAAUACCGAUGGCGAAGGCAGCCAUCUGGCCUAAUACUGACACUGAGGUGCGAAAGCAUGGGGAGCAAACAGGAUUAGAAACCCCAGUAGUCC